rnacentral:snRNA from 1 species
GGAUAUGAGGGUGAUCUGGUUGUGACAUCUGUCCCUGCAUUGAUCGCCAGGGUUGAUUUGGCUGAUCUGGCUGACUAGGUGGGUGUCCUCUUCCUCCCUCACCACUCCAGCUCCAUGUGUAUCCCUCUCAAAGCUGUAUGCUUGGUGGAAGUGGAUGACCGUUCCCGAUAGAGAAGGACAUUCUUCGGUCAAGGGUAUACAAGUAGCUGCACUCCCCUGCUAGAACCUCCAAACAAGCUCCUCGGGUCCAUUUGUAGGAGAAAGUAGGGUAGUCAAGUCUAAACACAUCCAAAUGAGACACUGCAUAUGGCAGUCUGCCUUUCUUU